UGCCAGACUCCUACGGGAGGCAGCAGUAGGGAAUCUUUCACAAUGGGCGAAAGCCUGAUGGAGCAACGCCGCGUGCAGGAUGAAGGCCUUCGGGUUGUAAACUGCUUUUAUAAGCGAGAAAUAUGAUGGUAACUUAUGAAUAAGGAUCGGCUAACUACGUGCCAGCAGCCGCGGUAAUACGUAGGUGGCAAGCGUUAUCCGGAUUUACUGGGUGUAAAGGGCGUGUAGGCGGGAGAGCAAGUCAGACGUGAAAUUCCAGGGCUCAACCCUGGAACUGCGUUUGAAACUGUUCUUCUUGAGUGAUGGAGAGGCAGGCGGAAUUCCGUGUGUAGCGGUGAAAUGCGUAGAUAUACGGAGGAACACCAGUGGCGAAGGCGGCCUGCUGGACAUUAACUGACGCUGAGGCGCGAAAGCGUGGGGAGCAAACAGGAUUAGAUACCCCGGUA
rnacentral:rRNA from 1 species